CCUACGGGAGGCAGCAGUGGGGAAUAUUGCACAAUGGGGGAAACCCUGAAGCAGCAACGCCGCGUGAGGGAGGAAGUAUCUAGGUAUGUAAAGCUCCUUUUGUAGGGGAUAGAAAAGAAGGUACCUGAAAUAGAUGCCCGGGCUAUCCACGUGCGAGUAGCCUCGGUAAUACGCAGGAGGCAAGCGUGAUCCGGAUUUACUGGGGUUAAAGGGAGUGUAGACGGAAAGGCAAGUCAGAGGUGAAAGCAUAAGGCUCAACCAUGGAACUGCUUUUGAAACUGUCAGGCUAGAGUACAGGAGAGGUAGGAGGAAUGCCUGGUGUAGCGGUGAAAUGCGUAGAUAUUAGGAAGAACACCAGUGGCGAAGGCGGCUUACUGGGCCGAAACUGACGUUGAGGCUCGAAAGCGUGGGGAGCAAACAGGAUUAGAUACCCGUGUAGUC
rnacentral:rRNA from 1 species